rnacentral:rRNA from 1 species
AUUGAACGCUGGCGGCAGGCCUAACACAUGCAAGUCGAGCGAGCGGCGGACGGGUUCGUAAUGUCUGGGGAUCUUCCCGAUCGAGGGGGAUCACUACUGGACACGGUAUCUAAUCCCGCAUACUUUCGGAUGCACCCAUAUGGGAUUAGCUAGUAGGUAAGGUAAUGGCUGACCUAGUCGACGAUCCCUCGCUGGUCUGAGAGGAUGAUCAGCAACACGGGAACUGAGACACGGCCCAGACUCCUACGGGAGGAAGCAGGGGGGAAGAGUGAACAAGGGGAGAAAGCCGGAUGCAGCCAUGCCGCGUGUAUGAAGAAGGCCUUAGGGUUGGAAAGUAAUUUAAGUCGGGAGGCGGUACCGAAAGAAGAAGCACCGGAUAACUCCGUGCCAGCAGCCGCGGUAAUAC